rnacentral:siRNA from 1 species
CUCAACUCAACUUAACCCAUGAA